rnacentral:rRNA from 1 species
UUUAACUGAAGAGUUUGAUCAUGGCUCAGAUUGAACGCUGGCGGCAGGCUUAACACAUGCAAGUCGAGCGGGGUGAUGUAGCUUGCUACAUUACCUAGCGGCGGACGGGUGAGUAAUGCUUAGGAAUCUGCCUAUUAGUGGGGGACAACAUUCCGAAAGGAAUGCUAAUACCGCAUACGCCCUACGGGGGAAAGCAGGGGAUCUUCGGACCUUGCGCUAAUAGAUGAGCCUAAGUCAGAUUAGCUAGUUGGUGGGGUAAAGGCCUACCAAGGCGACGAUCUGUAGCGGGUCUGAGAGGAUGAUCCGCCACACUGGGACUGAGACACGGCCCAGACUCCUACGGGAGGCAGCAGUGGGGAAUAUUGGACAAUGGGCGAAAGCCUGAUCCAGCCAUGCCGCGUGUGUGAAGAAGGCCUUUUGGUUGUAAAGCACUUUAAGCGAGGAGGAGGCUACUGAGAUUAAUACUCUUGGAUAGUGGACGUUACUCGCAGAAUAAGCACCGGCUAACUCUGUGCCAGCAGCCGCGGUAAUACAGAGGGUGCGAGCGUUAAUCGGAUUUACUGGGCGUAAAGCGUGCGUAGGCGGCUUUUUAAGUC